rnacentral:tRNA from 1 species
AGCGGGGUUGAGCAGCCAGGAGUGCUCGUCGGGCUCAUAACCCGAAGGCCAAAGGUUCAAAUCCUUUCCCCGCUA